rnacentral:lncRNA from 1 species
GUCCUCAUAGCGCGACGCGACGCCAAUGGAUGUUAUGGCGUCGCGUCGGAUGUUAUGUUAUAUUCGGCUGUUUUUGUUUGGAAUGUGGAAAAAAGUUAGUGACCAUUGGCCCGGUGGCGGUUCGUGAUCGGUAUUCCAGCCCCGACUGCGUACCACAGGGUAAACCUAUAUAUUCCUCGCCUCGCGAGAGGCAUGUGCCAUCGCGCGAUAGCGCGACAAGCAACAGCUGUACUGGUACACUGGACAAGUAGCCGUACUGGUGUGUACAUUUACUGUUUGUGGAAAAGAAAAAAAAAAAAAAAAAAAGGUGAUUGGUUAUCAUCGCG